UUCAUCCUCAACUAUAAAUUAAUUGCAUAAACCCUGAUACAUAUAGAAAAAUUCUAAAGUUAUUAUGUCAUAAAAUAGAAUGGUUAAUGACACAGUGUAACCCUAGUGACCUAGUAGUGUAACUGGUUUGUUGCUGUCAUAAAAUAAAAUAGUCUAUCAUCUAUUUUCAACUGCUUCCUUUAUAUUGAUCUUAUGAAAUGCUUCAGUGUGAGAGACAAUAACAUGCUGAAAUGGGAGGAAAACUUUAAGUGAAACUUCAGUUGAAAAAAAAUAUUGGACUUGAAGGCUUAAAGAAGAUGAUAAAUGGCAUUGAAGUUAUUACUAUAGAAGUGAAAGCCAAAUUUUGCCUGUUUUUUGAAAGUAUUGAAACACUGGGAAGAAUCUUUCAAAGGCAAGUUUGGUUAGGAAGAUAACUAAAGACAGGAAAGAUAUGAGUCACCUAAUGUCUUCUUUGAGAGGAGAUUACUUUGAAGUCUGGGGGACAUCCCCAGCUAGAAGACCUGGGCAGAAAUAUGCUCGGAUGAUCAUGAUCUGAAUUCAAAGGGAACAAUUAAGGAAUUAUUUCCAUUUUGAUUCUAAUAGCAAGCUUUUCUACUUGUUGCCCUUCAACCUGUCUGCAUGCCAGCUGAAACUUCAAUAGAGCCUCAUGACAGAGCUGUUAAAAGACUUUGAAAAAGGAACGUGUGAAAUCAUAAAUGCUUCAGAAAUAAGAGAAUGUUUCUCAGUCCAUUACAUUCUUAACCUCUUGUUUCUGCUUAACGGACUUUGUUAAAGGUCAGUGAGAAUGUUUUAACAGCAAAUGCUUGAGACUUCCAAGAACAUAUUGUUUCCAUUCUAGAUACCCAUUGCUAAUAAAGAACUGGUUUGGUAUAUUCUGUACUUAUAUUUUCAGUAAAAAUAAAAAGUCAUCAUCAGAAAGA